rnacentral:tRNA from 1 species
GGGGCUGUAGAAGAACGGUAAUUCGUCGCACUGUCUAUGCGAAGAUAGCGGGUUCGACUCCCGUCAGCCUCG